rnacentral:rRNA from 1 species
UACGGGGGGGGCAAGCGUUGUUCGGAAUUACUGGGCGUAAAGGGCUCGUAGGUGGCCAACUAAGUCAGACGUGAAAUCCCUCAGCUUAACUGGGGAACUGCGUCUGAUACUGGAUGGCUUGAGAUUGGGAGAGGGAUGCGGAAUUCCAGGUGUAGCGGUGAAAUGCGUAGAUAUCGGGAGGAACACCAGUGGCGAAGGCGGCUUCCUGGACCAGCACUGACGCUGAUGCGCGAAAGCUAGGGGAGCAAACAGG